rnacentral:rRNA from 1 species
UGGUACCUUGCUACUUGGAUAACCGUAGUAAUUCUAGAGCUAAUACAUGCAGGAAUUCCCGACUUCGGAAGGGAUGUAUUUAUUAGAUAAGAAACCAAACCGGUCUCCGGUUGUGUGCUGAGUCAUAAUAACUGCUCGAAUCGCACAGCUCUACGCUGGCGAUGGUUCAUUCAAAUUUCUGCCCUAUCAGCUUUCGAUGGUAGGAUAGAGGCCUACCAUGGCGUUAACGGGUAACGGAGAAUUAGGGUUCGAUUCCGGAGAGGGAGCCUGAGAAAUGGCUACCACAUCCAAGGAAGGCAGCAGGCGCGUAAAUUGCCCGAAUCCUGACACAGGGAGGUAGUGACAAGAAAUAACAAUACAGGGCUCUCUGAGUCUUGUAAUUGGAAUGAGUACAAUUUACAUCUCUUCACGAGGAUCAAUUGGAGGGCAAGUCUGGUGCCAGCAGCCGCGGUAAUUCCAGCUCCAAUAGCGUAUAUUAAAGUUGUUGCAGUUAAAACGCUCGUAGUCGGAUUUCGGGGCGGGGCCGCCGGUCUGCCGAUAGGUAUGCACUGGCGGGCGCGUCCUUUUUCCCGGAGACGGCUGCUACUCUUAACUGAGCGGUGGUCGGAGACGGGAUGUUUACUUUGAAAAAAUCAGAGUGUUUCAAGCAGGCAGUCGCUCUUGCAUGGAUUAGCAUGGGAUAAUGAAAUAGGACUCUGGUGCUAUUUUGUUGGUUU